AAUGCGCCUUCAUCUCGCGCUCCCGCGCCCGUCUCGGGAUCGUCCGCGCCGCCGUGCGCGAGCCAGGGGGGGAGCGCGCGCGCCGAGAGCGCGCUCUUGAGUCCGGGCCGCGCGCGCUCGGCGGCGCGCAUGUGCCUGUGUGCGGGCUGCCCGGCUGCCCCGAGCCGGCGGGGAGCCGGACCGCUCCAGGUGGCUGACGGCCUGGACGAGGUGAGGCUACGGG
rnacentral:other from 1 species